GUUUCUGUAAUGUAGUGGUCAUCACGUUCGCGUAACACGCGAAUGGUCCUCGGUUCGAAACCGAGCAGACACA